rnacentral:lncRNA from 1 species
AUGUGGCAUCGAAGAAGAUGUUACUGCCGGCAUGCCCUCGACAAAGAACAUGGACAGAAACAACGAUGUCGCCUUUGGAACCGCCAUACUUUGAGCAGCGCCUUGGUCACAAACGCAGUUGAAAUUAGCUGUUUGAAUGUAAAAUGAAGCCCAUAAAUUAGCUGUUUGAAUGUAAAAUGAAGCCCAUAAAUUAUCUGUUUGAAUGUAAAAUGAAGCCCGUAAAAUAGAUUUGAUGGCUCCAGGAUUCUGUACUCUGUACACUAGCGCAAGCGCUGAUAUGUUGUUGAAACAACACUUGUUCAGAAACAAAAGAGAAUAAUGAUAG